rnacentral:rRNA from 1 species
AGAGUUUGAUCCUGGCUCAGGACGAACGCUGGCGGCGUGCCUAAUACAUGCAAGUCGAGCGGACAGAUGGGAGCACUCCCUGAUGUUGGCCCAGUUGAGUGAUAUUACGUAGUACCUGUGAACUGAAACUCCGAAACCGGAAUGUGGUUGUUUGAACCGCAUGGUUCAUUAAAACUUCGGCUACACUUGCAGAUGGUUGCAGCUGCUAGUUGGUAAUGGCUCAAGGCAACGUAGCGACCUGAAGAUCACUGGGACGGGGCAGUCCACUGAGAGCAGUAGAAUCGCAAUAGACGAGGUCUGACGAACGCCGCGUGAUGAGGUUUCGGAUCGUAAAGCUCUGUUGGGAAGUGCCGUUCGAAUAGGGCGGUACCUUGACGACUAUGAAAGCCACGGCUAACAUUACGUAGGUGGCAAGCGUUGUCCAAUUAUUAAGUAAAGGGGCUCGCAGGCGGUUUCUUAGUCGUGUGAAAGCGGGCUCAACCGAGGAGGGUCAAACUGGGAACGAGUGCAGAAGAGUGGAGGGAAUUCACGUGUAGCGAAAUGCGUGAGAUGGAGGAACACCAGUGGCGAAGGCGACUCUCUAAUGUAACGACGAGGAGCAGCGUGGUUUAUGGAUAAGUUAAAUUCCUGGUAGUCACGCCGUAACGAUGAGUGCUAAGUGUUAGGGUUUCCGCCUUUAGUGCUGCAGCUAACGCAUUAAGCACUCUUUUUGGAGUACGGUCGCAAGACUGAAAACUCAAAGAAUUGACGGGGCCCGCAAGCGGUGACAAUUUAAUUGAAGCAACGCGAAGAACCCACAGGUCUUGACAUCCUAUACAAUCCUAGAGAUAGGACGUCCCCUCGGGGGCAGAGGACAGGUGGCAUGGUUGUCGUCAGCUCGUGUCGUGAGAUGUUAGGUUAAAUCCCGCAACGAGCGCAACCCUUGAUCUUAGUUGCCAGCAUUCAGUUGGGCACUCUAAGGUGACUACCGACAAACCGAGGAAGGUGUGAUGACGUCAAGUCAUGCCCCUAUGACUGGGCUACACGUGCUACAAUGGAUUGAUAAAGGCGCGAAACGCAAUUAAGCCAAUCCCACAAAUCUGUUCUCAGUUCGGAUCGCAGUCUGCAACUCGACUGCGUGAAGCUGGAAUCGCCAUGUCGGAUCGCAUGCCGCGGUAAACCGGGCCUUGUACACACCGCCCACAAUCACCACGAAAGUUUCACCCGAAAGUCGGUAAGUAACCUUAGGAGCCAGCCGCCGAAGGUGGACAGAGUGAUUGGGGUGAAGUCGUACUGGAAGGUGCCGUAUCGGUUGGUGCGGCUG